rnacentral:lncRNA from 1 species
CGGUUUUAAUGACACAUGACAUAGACAUGGAUAAAUAUGGAAAACUUUUGUGAUGUUGGAGACACGCGUAACGCAAUAGACACAAUGGCACGACGCCCCGCCCCAUCUGGUAGUUAUCCGUGUCGGCACUGCACUGGUGUAUUGGCACAUCACUGGACCGUCCACUUCAUUGGGCCCAAUGAUAACGAGAGAUCCUAAGAGGAUGCAUCGUGUAUGGUAGAUAACUGUGAGGAGUGGUGGUCCUGGUCCUGGUCCUGCUGGAGGUCAUUUUCAUUUUUUCAGGGAGUAAUCGUAAUGCCGAUAAUCACGUAACUAAUAUCAUAUUUUGUAUUACCUGAUGUGACUACGUGGGUUUUCAGAUCUAUUGUCCGUCCAUCUUGCCAUAUGCCUUAUUUAGUAGCUUCAAGAUACCGAAGAGUAUAUUUAUUAGGGUUGUUGCUCCACUGGGAGUUGUUGCAUACGUGCAAUGCCGAUUCACAUGCCGCACUGCUUUUGACAGUCCCACCACCAUCGAUGGAGCUACCGUUGCAUUUCAAAUAUUAAUUUUCACCAAACACUCAAAUAAUAAUAAUAAAAAA